rnacentral:tRNA from 1 species
GCCAGUGUGGUAUAGUGGUUUGAAUGUUGGACUAUGACUCUGGAGACCCAGGUUCAAAUCCCCACUAUGCUA